CAAAUCUAUUGACUGCUUCUAAG
rnacentral:siRNA from 1 species